rnacentral:rRNA from 1 species
AUACGGAGGAUCCGAGCGUUAUCCGGAUUUAUUGGGUUUAAAGGGUGCGCAGGCGGCCAUUUAAGUCAGCGGUUAAAUCGUGGGGCUCAACCCCAUUCUGCCGUUGAUACUGGGUGGCUUGAUUGCGGUCGAGGUUGGCGGAAUUCGUUGUGUAGCGGUGAAAUGCAUAGAUAUGACGAAGAACACCGAUUGCGUAGGCAGCUGACCAGACCGCAAAUGACGCUCAUGCACGAAAGUGCGGGGAUCGAGCAGGAUUAGAUACCCUGGUAGUCCGCACAGUAAACGAUGAAUACUUGUUUUCGGCGAUAUAAUGUCGGAGGCAAAGCGAAAGCGAUAAGUAUUCCACCUGGGGAGUACGCCGGCAACGGUGAAACUCAAAUGAAUUGACGGGG